UUAGUGCCAAAAUUCGCCACUUUUCUAACCCGUUUGAUUAAGAAACGGCGUAAAAAACGCCGUUUAAUUAUUCAAAACGCCGAAAAAAACGGCGUUCUGUUUCGACAAACGCCGUUUUUUCCGACUCUCACAUGGCGCCCUGAACGCACCAUCCGAGUGACGUAAAAAGCGGCGUUCAAAGACACACGGAAACGCCGUUUUUUACGCCACUCGGCAGAAAACGCCGUUCAAAGAUGCAUAAAAACGGCGUUUUUUACGGCGUUCUGUGCCAGCUGUAACGGCGUUUAAAACGGCGUUUUAUUGAAAUUAUGCAGGGCACUCCCCAUGGUUCCCUCAUCCAAUUACUUUCAACUCAUUUCACCCAAUCAAAGAAGAGGAAGUGCAGACCACACUAAUGCAUCACCGAUUCACCUUGCUGCUAAGUGAUUGCCUAUUCAGUACCAGUGCUUGUCACAGUAUUGACUUGUAUUAUAAUCCCACUAUGCAUUUUGAUGUGUUUAAGGCAUGAUCAAGCAAACAAACGACAGAAUACUUUUUCUGAAACCUUAACUGUGAUACCUGUUAUGGCAGCUAACAGACACUCGGCGCAUGGCUCCUUUGUUUACGUUAGGGAUCAGCUGUUAGCGCUGCGCCCUGCAGCUGCGCUACCGGCAGACAGACCCUACGUCCCCAGUGAGGGAAGAGACGGGGGUGAUGUCUCCCGAGAAGGACACCUUACACACCAUCUCUCCUUCCUGUAAUCACUGUAAACGUGAGAUCGCUCCCUGAUAUGAUUGAGGAGCUAAUGACGCUAACCCGGUCACAGUGGCAGUACCCCGACACUGCCCGGUACUCCCUCUGUGAGUAGGCUGCCCGGCUUCCAGCUGCUGCGGCCGGACAAGACCAGAGACAGCGGUGAGAGGAAAGGAGGGGGACUGGGCAGUGUUUGUUAAAGACAGUUGUGGUAUCCCUGGGCACAUUGCUGUGAAAGAACAACUCUGCAACAGAGACAUUGAGCUAUUAGCCGUUAGCAUCCGUGGAGGCAGCCUGUGACUCUCUGUGGUCCGCAGA